AUUGAACGCUGGCGGCAUGCUUUACACAUGCAAGUCGAACGGUAACAGGGUGCUUGCACCGCUGACGAGUGGCGAACGGGUGAGUAAUGCGUCGGAACGUGCCGAGUAGUGGGGGAUAACGCAGCGAAAGUUGUGCUAAUACCGCAUACGUACUGAGGUAGAAAGUGGGGGACCUUCGGGCCUCACGCUAUUCGAGCGGCCGACGUCUGAUUAGCUAGUAGGUGAGGUAAAGGCUCACCUAGGCGACGAUCAGUAGCGGGUCUGAGAGGAUGAUCCGCCACACUGGGACUGAGAGACGGCCCAGACUCCUACGGGAGGCAGCAGUGGGGAAUUUUGGACAAUGGGCGAAAGCCUGAUCCAGCCAUGCCGCGUGUCUGAAGAAGGCCUUCGGGUUGUAAAGGACUUUUGUCGGGGAGGAAAUCCCCAGCGUUAAUACCGCUGGGGGAUGACAGUACCUGAAGAAUAAGCACCGGCUAACUACGUGCCAGCCGCCGCGGUAAAAC
rnacentral:rRNA from 1 species